rnacentral:tRNA from 1 species
GGAGAGUACAGCUCAGUGGUAGAGCACAUGCUUAGGAUGCACAAGGUCAUGGGUUCGAUCCCCAGUACCUCCA